rnacentral:rRNA from 1 species
GGUUGAGUGGCGGCACGGGUGAGUAACGCGUGAGAAUCUGCCUUGGGGUCGGGGACAACCACUGGAAACGGUGGCUAAUACCGGAUAAGCCUUUGGGUAAAAAAUUUAUUGCCCCAAGAGGAGCUCGCGUCUGAUUAGCUAGUUGGUGAGGUAAAAGCUCACCAAGGCAGCGAUCAGUAGCUGGUCUGAGAGGACGAUCAGCCACACUGGGACUGAGACACGGCCCAGACUCCUACGGGAGGCAGCAGUGGGGAAUUUUCCGCAAUGGGCGAAAGCCUGACGGAGCAAGACCGCGUGAGGGAGGAAGGCUCUUGGGUUGUAAACCUCUUUUCUCAGGGAAGAAGCUCUGACGGUACCUGAGGAAUCAGCCUCGGCUAACUCCGUGCCAGCAGCCGCGGUAAUACGGAGGAGGCAAGCGUUAUCCGGAAUUAUUGGGCGUAAAGCGUCCGCAGGUGGCGAUUCAAGUCUGCUGCCAAAGCACGUGGGCUUAAACUCCGUUAAGGCAGUUGGAAACUGAAUAGCUUAGAGUGCCGUAGGGGUAGAGGGAAUUCCCGUGUGUAGCGGUGAAAUGCGUAGAGAUCGGGAAGAACCAUCGGUGGCGAAAGCGCUUCUACUUGGACGGCAACUGACACUAAGGGACGAAAGCUAGGGGAACCGAAAUGGGAGUAGGACACCCCCAGUAGUCCUAGCCGUAAACGAAGGAUACUAGGUGUAGCUUUGUAUCGACCCGACCUGUGCCGGAGCUCACGCGUUAAGUAUCCAGCCUGGGGAGUACGCACGCAAAGUGUGAAACUCAAAGGAAUUGACGGGGCCCGCACAAGCGGUUGGAGUAUGUGGUUUAAUUCGAAUGCAACGCGAAGAACCUUACCAGGGCUUGACAGGUCCGGAAUCCCGGUGAAAGCUGGGAGUGCCUGCAGGGAGCCGGAACACAGGUGGUGCAUGGCUGUCAUCAGCUCGUGUCGUGAGAUGUUGGGUUAAGUCCCGCAACGAGCGCAACCCUCGUCUUUAGUUGCCAGCAUUAAGUUGGCACUCUAGAGAGACU